AACGCACGAGACCUGCGGACCUGCGGAGGGAUCAUUACUGAAUGGCCCUCAGGCCUUCAACCCUACAAACCUGUGGAAGCGAAAUGUGCUUCGGCGCUCCGGCGUCGCUUUUACGCUACGAACACUGUGUGUCAGUUUCCAAAGAGAAAGACAAAACUUUCAACAAUGGAUCUCU
rnacentral:misc_RNA from 1 species